UACGUAGGGCGCGAGCGUUGUCCGGAAUUAUUGGGCGUAAAGAGCUCGUAGGCGGCCUGUUGCGUCCGCUGUGAAAUCCCGGGGCUUAACCCUGGGCGUGCAGUGGAUACGGGCAGGCUGGAGGCAGGCAGGGGAGAACGGAAUUCCAGGUGUAGCGGUGAAAUGCGCAGAUAUCAGGAAGAACACCCGUGGCGAAGGCGGCUCUCUGGGACGGUACUGACGCUGAGACGCGAAGCGUGGGAGCGAACAGG
rnacentral:rRNA from 1 species